AUUACUCCCAUCUUCAGAUAAUAAUCUUAUCGAUAUCGAAUCACAAGUCUUUUCUUCGUUCGAGACAAGAUUCGAAGAUAAUCGUUCUUCCAUGGAUCCAAUGGAAGAUCACGCGAUUGAACGACAUGAACCAAAUGGCUCCAGCAAGGCGACAAACCGGGCACUGUCUCGGGCUUGACCUCUUUCAUAUCUUCCAAAUCGAGAAACAGCGUGAUAGGUCGAGGUUUAUCAGGAAGUUGCAACCCUUUAACGCCUCUUCGAAUUCUUUUCCCUUUUUUGCUCGACUUUUUUUCCUCUUCUUCAUCUAGACAAAAAAAAAGAAAAAGAAAAAAUAUAUAGAUAUAAGUCUUUAAAGGGUGAAUAAUCGCAUUUGAUCAUUUUUCAAGUUUUAUUUUUAUUAUUCUUUCUUUUCUUUUCUUUUCUUUCUUUUUUCUUUUUCUUUUUUUUUUUUCAAUAAGAUCUAUCAAUCGAAAUACCAUGCUUCGAGACAAUCAUUUGUUUAUCCUAUAAAAUUCA